rnacentral:lncRNA from 1 species
AUUGGAACAAGGGUUUUUUUUUUUUUUUUUUGGUCUUUUGGGUUGUAACGGGGCUUUGGUUUAUGUAGGGUAUGAAAUUUGAACAAAAGUUUUUUGGUUCAGAGUAUAUGAAAUCAUUCUCUCACUACGUUUCUUUCCUAUUAUUCCUGUAGGGCUUUGUAAUCCUCUUUUCCUUUUUUCUAUAGUGAAUGUAGCAUUUUUCAAAAGCUGUUCUUUUAUUGUUUUUCGCUUUUCUCUUUCUUUCUUUUCAUGUUGUUGUUGUUUUUCUUUCUCUUUUUUUUUUUAUAUAUAUACUACAUUCACUUGCUAUUCACUUACUGCAAAGCUACCCCAAACUUAAAGGUUGUUAUUCCAACAGCAACCCCAAACUCAGAUAGAAACGUAGAGAUGAAAUCAAUCCUCACAUACUCUGAACAGGGUAGGAUAGUUACAAGGUCAUGGGUGUU